rnacentral:tRNA from 2 species
GCUAGCGUAGCUUAAACCAAAGCAUAACACUGAAGAUGUUAAGAUGAUCCCUAGAAAUGUUCCGCAGGCA